GUGGUUCCAAGAAGCAAAAAGCGCAUGGGCCUUGAAAACUACAAGCCCAUUGGAAAUUCAACAUUGUAGAGUGGUGUAUGGAGCAAGUCAGGGUGAUGGUGAGCAUUCCAGGACUGAGCCUAACAUGCAGGCCAACACACCAAAGAGUCAGUGCACAUGUGGACUAAAGUUCAGUAAAAACCAAGAUUACCAAUCAGCAACAGGCACGUGUAAACUGGAAAUUGAAUUUAAACUUGACGCGACAUCCCCAUGAAUACUCAUACUUCAUCUCCUUAUACCACCAACGUGCCAGAGCUCACCACCGGUGGCGGUGGAGCAUCCAUACACGAAAUCAAAUACAUAGCAACGAUCCAAACCUCAAGAUCAGUUCAAAUCCGCAAUCAGAAUCCACUAACAAGCCCUCAAAUCUCCAAAUCGAAAGGAAUAAUGCAAGAACCCUAAAUAUUUCAACAAAACUUAAAUGGAGGAUAGCAAUAAUUAGAGCCCUAGAUGUUAGGGCUUUGAUUCGUCUCAGAAAAAGUUACAUCGUGGUAACUUGAAGAAAAAUGAUGAAGAUUGAAAAUACACUCACAAAAACAGACACCGGAAAUUCCAGGUAAUCUCUCUGAAACUUUUCGUAUCUUCUUCUCCUUGCUUCUUCUUCUUCCUCAAUUUUCUCUUCUUCUUCACUUCUCUCUUCUUCUUCACUUCUCUCUUCUUCUUCCACCUUCUGAGCUUGUGUGGAUGGUUUCUGAUAGAUUGCAGAGAGAGAAAGUUUGAGUGAUUUGUGAGUGAAAUUGUGAUUCCUCUGAGAUUCUGAGAUUGUUGAUGAUCCUCUGAAAUUGGUGAAGGAUGAAGGUACUUAUAAAGGCUGGAUUUAACAAAGAUCCAACUCUGUUAAAUCAUGAUAGCACGAGUUAGUUGAAGAUCUCAGUUCCGUUACCUCACUCUGUUAGAACUUAGUUAUAGGAUUCGAAAGUUAGUUAGAUGAACUGUUAGUUAGGAAAAAUGAACUGUUAGUUUAGCAGUUAAUUGAUUUGUCAGUUAGUAGUGAAAUUGGAGUUUAGUUAGUCUUAGGGAUUUUAGCUAUUAGUUACUGAGUUUCAAUUUGAAUGAAUUAGGUGAUGGAAAAUGAACUUAACUAUGGAAUGUAGGAUUAUCAGUUUUAGCUAGUUUCAAAAUGGUGGUCCUUAGUUGAAUUUCCGUGUGCACUUAAUUUGAAUUUUCUUUUUACAAUGAUCGUGAUGCAGGUGCUUGCACUUGUUAAUUGGAUGAGUUUCUCAAUUUAUUACUGUUAGCAUAUUAGUUUGAAUCAAAACAAGCCAAGACAGUAUGUUGCGUAUCUCUCAUGGCCAAUGCUAAGGUCCUGCUAUCCUUGUUUGUCUUCACAUGUGUUGUUAGUAAUCCUUGGCCACAGUUAAUUGAUCAAUUUGGAUUUAAACUUGCUUGGCAUUUAAUACCAAAUCCCAUCUAUCGAUUGUUGCUACUGUUUGAACUGUUUUUUUUUUUUGCAUUUGGAAAUGAAGUUAAUGUUAGUAACCAAAUCUGGAAGUUAGUUAAAGAAAAUGAAAUGGGUUAGCUUAUUAGGACAAAUAGAAUUUAUGCAAUUAGUUUUAUUAGUGUUGGUUAAGUUAGCUGCUCAAUUGAGCAAAAUUCAUUGAGUUAAACCGGACCCAUCUAGCAUUCCACUUUUCCAUUUCCUGAAUUCCUUGUUACUGCAUGCUCUAACUUGGACUGCUAGGUAUGCAGGGUUUAUACCCAUGAUUUCCAGACUGGUCCGUGCAUUUGACCUUGGUGCUUGUAUUGUUUUGGUAUGUGAUUUAUUGUAUUGCAUGAUGGCAUUUGCUAGCAGGUCUUGACAUGGUUUUGUGAACUAAUCAUGAUGUGCUGCAGAUCUAUGGGUUUGUAUAGUAUGCAUUGUUCUGACUUGGCCUUGAUGAUGGUAAGCUUUUGAUGGAUUACAUUGUAUGCUACUUGUGUUAUAUUGUGAUGCUUGGUUCAUUGCUUGACAUGAAGAUGUGAUGUUACCGCAUGUUGUUUGGAUAGCUUGGUUCAUAAUUGCUAUGCAGUAGUGGGAUUAGGCAUGAUGGCAAGAUGGAAUAAGGCAACAACCUAAGCAUGACUAGGCCAACCAACCAAGUUCAAAACAUAUUGAUCACAACAUGGAAAAACCAAGUUCACAUAACCACCUCAAGAAUAAGAAUGUUGGAUGCAAAUAGAGCUAAGACUAGUCAUUUAGUUAUUAGGGAUGCAAAAUGGCAUAGGUUGACUUUGGUCAAAGUUAACCAAAAAGUCAACUAUUGACCAAAGUCAUCCAUUAGUCAACAUGUGAUUUUUCUUGAAUUUCUUGAUAUGUAAUGAACAUUUUUGUGUGUUGAUGAAUGAAAUUGGCCAUUUUGAAUGAAAAAAUGAAUGAAUUGAACA